CACAGAAUUCAAGGAUCAAAGAAGACUAGCAGACGGAGGACAUCCUAAUCGCUGUCAGGGUGCUGCCGACAUUCAAAUACACCUCCGCCACCUCCUAGCUACAUCAGAAAAAAUUACGUCAAAAUCCAGCUUGGGGGAGAGCACCCCAUUUAUCCAGCUAAGUGUUUAUAUUCACGUUCAUACUUUGCUCAAAUAAUAAAAAGAUGCAUAAUCAUAAAAACCCAAAUAAAGAUUUUAUGCUUAU
rnacentral:lncRNA from 1 species